AGAGGAUCCCAGUUUCCGCGCUAACACGCAGCUGUCACAUCUAGUUGGAGACAGCCACUUCUUCCCAGCUGUUUACCUGCUCUGGCAAGAAGGCACCCUAUUCCAAAAGCGAGUAGGCUGGAGGAGGAGUCUGCAUGGUGCUUGCUGCAGGUCAAUUUUGUUUGGAAAUGAAUGCUAAGGAAAGCAUCGACUGAUCACUCCAGGUAGCAGUCUUACAACAUCAAUCUAUUGAUUUUUCACUGUAUGGGGUGAAGAAGAAACCACCAAGUCAGGUAUGACUUUCAGGCUCAAAAAUUAUCCACUUGAAAUUAAACAUAUAUAAUGCACUACAGACUGAAACUUUUAAAAUCCUCUUACAAUGGAACUUGAAGCAAGUGUUUUUGGAAAUUGCUAGAAGCAAUCUUUACUAUUUUUUUUCUCUAAUGCACAAUCACUGUUGUAGAAAGCAAACCAUAUAAGCACUUGUUAAGACUUCUACAUUGUAUUGUAUCCCACCUAAUAAUUAGCCUCUCAGAAUUUAUUCUGCCUAAAUGUCCCUAGCCACAUUUCCAAAGUAAUCUGAUGUUCAUUGUUCUUCCCUUUGGUAUGUACUGGUAGUCCACAGUAUCUUCUUAUUCUAAUCAGUAUUUCAAUGCCUGUUGAAAUGUCUGUUUAAAUGAAAGUAGCAGUGAUUAGUGGCACAGAUGUUUCCCUGAAAUUAAAAAUGUAUGGGUUAAAACCACAAAUUAAGCCAAGUACAGUCUUUACAUGCAUAUUCAUGUUUAUUUGAGGGGGGGGGUGGGUGGUGGGGUAAACAUUGCUGUCAAGUGAAAAUGCUACAUCCUAAAGUUGUGAAACUCUGACUGGGAAAAAAGGGGACAUCUGAAAAUAGGUCAGCAUCAACUCAAAGAAAGGUUAUAUAAUUUUAAUGUGUUGGAAAAAUAAAGUAUCACUUGCCUUCACUUGUGAUCCUUGGAGAGACCUGGGAAAGAGAAAUAAAACAAUCAGAAUUGUAUGCAAAUUGAAAAACUGAACAAAGAGUUUUAAAAGCCCAUGAAGGAAUCAUCAUUACUUAUUGAUAUAUUAAUAUUAUGCGGUAUUUAUCUGCUAUUGACCUAAAGUACUAUAAAGAUCAGCAUAUAACAUUUAGUUGCCAAAUGCAACUAUUUAUAAUCACUGAACAUUGACAUAUUGGGUAUAUUUGCUUCUUAUUUGUGUUUACACUUCAGUGUUAUACAUUAAGGUUUUAAUAUUUGACAAUGAGCAAAGUUAAAGUACUUGUAUCAAUGAACUCAUAAUAAUUUCCAAGUUAAGGAAGUCAAUCUGUAUUUGGUGAUUUUUUUCUUUUAGUAUCUUUCUUUCUAUUUGAAUUUUACAAGCAAUUAUAAUAUGAAGAUGAGAAUCCAUGAAUUAGAUUGAUUCCUCUAACCAUGUCCACAUGUUAGAAACUAGUACUUAGUUUUCCUGAGCCCCUAGACCAUUCUGUAAUAUACUCCACUGAGGCUUUAUUUUCAUAGACUUAGGAGAGUGCAGUGAUUGCACUCUUGUGUUUUUAUUCCUGAUUAAGAGGUUUUCCUUGCUCUUAGUUGAGGAGGAAGUUCCUCCAGUAAGACACCAGUCCUACUCCAUAUCCUAUAUCUCUCCACGCUGAUCCUGGUAGUGACUACUGUUUUGGACUAUAGUAAUUAAAUUAUGACUCCAUUAGAAUUGCUAAAACUUUUUAAGCAAGUUCUCAAUGAGGAAAGAAAUGUGAAAACAAAUAAACAGGUUAAAAUUUCUCAAUAUGUAUAUUACUAUUUUCAUCUUUAUGGGAAAACUAAAACCCCCUCCUUUCCAUUAACUAGACACAUUACUUGUGCUAUGGGUAGCUCAGGGUUUUCCUAUAGACCUUUACUGUCUUUGUUCAAUUGGUUAAUUAACUUAGUGAGAUAAAUUAGAUAGAUGAUAGAUAGAUAGAUAGAUAGAUAGAUAGAUAGAUAGAUAGAUAGAUAGAUAGAUAGACAGACCUAAGAAUAAGGAUUAAAGAAAAGAAAUAUACUCAAGAUCCAGGCACCUUCCCUGCCAGAGGAGAGGUGUCCACCGCACCCAGGAGGGAUUUGCCAGAGCAUCUGCAGGAGCCAUCUUCAUUCCCGGAUCCUGCCAAGACUAGUCUGAACUGGUUAGAGUGUGGACUACAGAAGCUAACAGCUUCUGGGACAGGCGGGAGUCACAGAGCUUCUGUGGCAGACCCAGUUUCGGGCUCCAGACAUCUGGGCAACUUCCCUGCCAGAGGAGAGGUGUCCGCCCAGCCCAGGAGGAUAUUGCCAGAGCAUCUGCCAGAGACAUUUGGUUCCCAGAUCCUGCCAAGACUAGUCUGCACAGACUCCAGACAUCCGGGUACCUUCCCUGCCAGAGGAGAGAUGUCCACUGCGCCUGGGAGGGCUUUGCCAGAGCAUCUGCAGGAGCCAUCUUCAUUCCUGGAUACCACCAAGAUUAGUCUGCACUGGUGAGAGUGUGGACAACAGAAGCUAACAGCUUCUGGGAAAGGCCCUGUUUUGGGGCCUUCAUCUUCUGCCAGGAGGCAAGUCCGAACAACAGAUAUCUGUGCACCUUCUCUGCAAGAGGAGAGCUUGCCUGCAGAGAGUGCUCUAACCACUGAAACUCAAGAGGGAGGUAGUCUCCAAGGUCUGCUGAUAGAGGCUAACAGAAUCACAAAAAGAACAAGCUCUAACCAGAGACAACUGUAACAACUGACACCAGAGAUUACCAGAUGGCGAAUGGCAGAUGUAAGAAUUUUACUAACAGAACCAAGAUCACUCACCAUUAUCAGAACGCAGCACUCCCACCUCAGCCAGUCCUGGGUCCCACAACACAUCUGAAAAGCUAGACCCAGAUUUAAAGGCAUAUCUCAUGAUGAUGGUAGAGGACAUCAAGAAGGACUUUAAUAACUCACUUAAAGAAAUAUAGGUGAACACUGCUAAAGAGUUACAAGUCCUUAAAGAAAAAGAGGAAAACACAUCCAAACAAGUGAUGGAAAUGAAUGAAACCAUACUAGACCUAAAAAGGGUAGGGGAGACAAUAAAGAAAACCCAAAGUGGGGCAAUGCUGGAGAUAGAAACCCUAGGAAAGAAAUCUGGAAUCAUAGAUGCAAGAAUCAGCAACAGAAUUCAAGAGAUGGAAGAGAGAAUCCUAGCUGCAGAAGAUUCCAUAGAGAACAUUGGC
ensembl:lincRNA